GUCUCAAAAAAACAAAAAGCAAAACAAAAAAACCAGUGAUAGUCAUGGAUGAUAACCUGUUGAAUUCCCUAAGAAAACACAGGUCCGUAUUGCGACAAAUAAAUAAGUGAAUAAACUGGAAGUUGAUGAGAAAAGGGAUAUUGACAUAGUCUCAGAGUAUCUUCUCACAAAAUACUUAUUAAUUACAAAGAGAGAAGGAAUAACUUUGCAGUGGAGAAACUUGGCAGACACCACCUUAAGUGAUCAAAUUUAACAUCACCUUUAUUGAAACUGAUCCAAAGCGCCCCAUAACUGCCACUUAGGAUAGUCCUGCCACAAACGCAUGACCUGAAUCUAACCACGAGGAAACACCAGCCAAACCCCAAUUUGAUGAAGUAAGUGAUCUGUAAUCUUCAAAAUGUCAAGGCCGUGAAGGAAGUACUGAGUAACUGUUCCAGACCGAAGGAGACCUGACAAUUUCAUGCAACGCAGGAGACUGAACCGGGUCCUUUUGCUACCGAGGCAUUGUUGAGAUAGUUGGCAAAACUGGCGCCAGGUCUGUGGAGUGGAAGGCUCUUCAACCUGUAAAAUGGGAGGGUAGUGCCUACUUCACCAUAGCCGUGGGGAGAAGCCCGUGAAAACACCUCUCAUCUGAGCCUGGGGCUUGUUCUUUCUUUGUUGAAGAGGAAUACAGAGGUGUCAAGGACAGAUGAGAACAAGACUGAGACUUUCUACUUGUUGAAAUCUGCGAGAAAAAAUGGGAAAGGAAUGAAUGAGAGGUUAUCUCUUAAUGUAAGUCAAUGUUUAUUCAAUGCUUUGCCUUGUACAGCCUCAAAUCAUCUUGGGAUCCACGGUGGGAGGCAGCACUGAUGUGAUGUCAUCCAGUGCCUAGAGAUGAGCCUGGCUCUAUUACUGGAGACCGCUGGUGGCUGCAUGGUGCCCUGAGUUAUAACCAAGAUUGCUGAAUAUCUGGGGAGAAAAUUUCUGUCUCUGAUCAGCCUCGGGGGCAUGAGUCAACCUCUGCUAAGUGUUUUGAGCUUGCCUACUGACAAGUUGAUGGCCAAUGCAGAGAAUUAUUAUUCUUAAGAAGAUUGUAAUCACAACUAUGAUGAAUCCAGGUUGAUGAGACAUUAAUGCCUGAAAGCUUUGGAGUAUUUUUGAAAAGCAUCGCUAAAAUAAUAAUUGAAAUCGCAACAAGGGGGAAUCAAGAACAUAAAAGCUGACUGAGAUAACCUCGCAACCCCGCCUGCCUUUUCUAGACACCAGCUUGCUGGGGGGCUUCAUGAGGCUUGUGAAGAAGACAGGACAAAAGAGUCAGGCUGUUGGGAAUUUUAAGGUCCCAAGUGACAUGAUGCCUUCUGAUGUUCCGGGCCUCAGUGGCCUCAUCUGAGAAAUGGGAAUGAUAAUAGCAUAUGUGCAUGGACCAGAUGAGCUCUUCUGGUCCUGUUCCAAUU
rnacentral:lncRNA from 1 species